GACGAACGCUGGCGGCGUGCUUAGCACAUGCAAGUCGAACGGAAAGGCCCUGCUUUUGUGGGGUGCUCGAGUGGCGAACGGGUGAGUAACACGUGAGUAACCUGCCCUUGACUUUGGGAUAACUUCAGGAAACUGGGGCUAAUACCGGAUAGGAGCUCCUGCUGCAUGGGGGGGGUUGGAAAGUUUCGGCGGUUGGGGAUGGACUCGCGGCUUAUCAGCUUGUUGGUGGGGUAGUGGCUUACCAAGGCUUUGACGGGUAGCCGGCCUUGGAGGGUGGCCGGCCACAUGGGGCCUGCGAUACGGCGCAGACUCCUACGGGAGGCAGUAGGGGGGAAUAUUGCACAAUGGGCGGAAGCCUGAUGCAGCAAUCCCGCGUGCGGGAUGACGGCUUUCGGGUUGUAAACCGCUUUCGCCGGUGCCGAAGCGUGAGUGACGGUAAUGGGUAAAGAAGCACCGGCUAACUACGUG
rnacentral:rRNA from 1 species